UGACCAAAAUAAGGUUGUGAGAACAUGAAGGAUGAAACAGAGACACAUGAGACCAACAAGAACAGGACAGGAGGCAAGGCUAAACGUAAGUCCAGUGGCCGUGCCAAGAAGACUUCCGUGGAGGAGGACAGCAGCAUUGGUGCAGAGUCUUCUCAGACACCCGGGUGUGGUUUCCAGGAAAGGGGAUCUAUCAUUGAGCAGCUGGAGAAGGAGGCUCAGAGGACUCUAAUGCCUUCUCUCAAGAUUGAGACAUGCUGUGCCCCAAUCCUCCUCUCCUUCCUGAGGAGUCUAACUGAUGACCAAUGGAGAGUGAUUCAGCAUGGCAUGAAAAAUAACCUCACAUUCGAGCAGCUCUCCAUGCUGUGUCUGAAGAUUGUUAAAGUCGUGACCCAGACAGCCCUCCGCAUUCUCCUACCAGCGCUAGCUCGUAUCAUGGGGGUGAACCUGAGGAGUGGGGCAACCUCCCCAGAAUCCCAGUGCUCUCUGACAGGGUCUGAGGAUUCCUUAGGCAGUCUGGAUGAGAGAGAGAAAAGGCUGCUGAUCAGUGAGAUGACCUACUGGACUAAGGAGAGGAGGAGGAAUGGCAGUGCAGGGUGCCGCCAAAAAUCCACUCGCAGAACCUCAUCACCAUGCUGUUCGCCUAAGAGGUCCCAGACCUCAUUGCAGAGCUUGCCUGCAACUAGAGAGGCUCCCCUCAUGGAGGAGCCUCUGAAGGCUCUUUUUGGGGUAACGGAAGAGAGCCUCCUGAUAUCCCUGGUUGAGGGUCACUCCAACCCCACCUCCUCCAGCUCCUCCGAGUUGAGGUGUGCUAUCGUGGGGGAGGUGGUACACCAGCUUAACUCUGGCCUCUCAGUGGUCAUUCAGGCCAGCUCGGGGAGUUUCCCCCCUAUGGACAGUCAGGACAUAGCAGCAGGCAAGGAGGUCAUUCGGGUAGCCUCGGUGCAGAUCCUGGCCGAGCUACAGAGCCAAACGUCUGAGCCAGAGUGGGUAGGGUUUAUCGAGCCCCUCAUGGACCCUGUGACCGAUGAUGUGCUGGAUGCCAUUGUCGGCACAAUGGACAAAAUGGCACAGGACUUCAACAUCCUAUUGGAUCUGGCCAAGAAGAUGACAAUCUUGGGGUCAAAAUGUCUGACCAAUCUUCAAUGUGACCUUGAUGUUGAGUGUCCAUCUGGGAAAGAAAGGACCACUCACUUUCUCAAAGAGACUGGAUCCUCUACCAGUGUGGUGGCCAGAAAGAUUCAGACCCUCUCUAGCCCCAACUUUCAGUCUAAAGCCCUGAAGGCGGUGAGCACCAUCCUUACAAGGAAAGUCAGCAGCUCUUCUGGCAUGGCUCCUUCCUCUAGGCCUUCUACUUCUAGUGCUGCUCCUAGCCUUACUGAAGCUUCCCUGAAUACCAGCUGCACAGCCCUGACAUCUGUAACCUCCACUGCCACAGUGAUUGUUAAGGCAUUUGUGGGAGGCAUGGAGACGAUAGCAUCAUUUGAAGGCACAUGUGAAGCAGUUGAUUGGCCAGUUCCUGUAAAUGACCACAAAACAGGAUCUUCACAGAUGAUAACCUUCUCUCUAGCCCGCACACUCUACGGCCGUAUACGAGCAAAGCUGAGGGACCUUUUAACUCUAUCCGCUCGAGAAGAAGGUGUGGCUAAGGAUGCUUCUCUUCAGGAGUCUUCAGACACUAUGGAAAAGGCAACUGUUUCAACUGUUGAGGUCCAGUUACCCAGCACCAAACUUAGUAGAGUUCCCAGUGAGAGCCAACCAAUACCAGCUCUCUGUCUCUCCAAUCUGGAUACCAGUACUCAAGAAGUUCUUAGCAGUGUUUUUUCCAUCUACAAGUCAGAGUUAUCAAAAGUGGAGAGUAAAUCCUUGGCCGUUGUCAGUUCAUCUGAUGAGUCCCUAGAGGCUUGUUGGUUUGUUGAUGGCGUCCUAUCAAAGCUCGAUGACUAUACUAUUUCCCAGUCACCCUCACCCAAUGAAGACUUGAGCGUGAGUACUCAAUAUUCUCAACUGAGCUCAGAAGAGAGUGUCAGAAUCACGGAGUCUUCUACUAGUCUGAUUCAGAGCAUUAAGAAGCUCUCUAGCAAUGACUUCCAGACUCAGGCAGAAGAGGCAGUGAGUAAAGUGCUGAUGAGAUCCAGUCAUUCCUUUAUCACACAGAUCAGCCAUACUGGUCUUCAGAAAAGUCUGCAGGCUGGCUUAUCAUCUAGCUCACCAUCAGAGAUCCAUGUCCUUUCAGAAUCCAUGUCCUCCAUGUCCUCUGAGAAUACAGCCUCUGGAUUAGUGGAAACCUUUGUCAAAGGAAUGGUGACUAUUUUCCAGAAAAAUGAGUCCACUGACACUGUGCUACUGGAAAGAAGUGGGAGAGUUUCACAGUGCUCCCACGGGGGCUCCCAACUGGAUGAUACUGAAUUGAGUGUUAAAAUAUCAGAGGAGAAGCUUUGGUCAACAGCUAAGACCAUCUGUGUCAGUAUGAAGAACACACUUAAGGAUUUCUUCACAGGGCUGAAGCCACCCGGAUCCGAAAGGACAGAAAAUGCUUCUUCCAAAGAGACCCUUGGGGAAAUCCUGGUUGCUAUCCAGAGUGAAAUCUCAAACUUAGGGAGAAUGAAGGAUUCCAGGGAGCUCCUUCAGAUCAAUGAUAUGGUAGGAACUAUACUGAAGGAGGUUGAGAAAAGUGAGGAUGACAGUGAACAAGUCUGCCAAGACAUCCCUAGAACCUGUUCAUCUUUGUCCACUUCUUUAAAUGGUCGUAGUUCCUUGUCCAGCUCUUCAAAGAGUCCUAGGUCAGAGUGUGAGUUAGAGAUCAACCUCCCUGGCACUCCCAUCCCUGACGAAGUGCCUUUUGAUCUGACCUGCCCCAUCGUCAGGAGCUCCUGCAUCGACACCAGGGUCUCUAAAAUGCCAGAGAUUUCUUCAAGUGACCUAAAGACAAAGAUGAUGGCACACACAGAUGAACCCCUGCAUCGUAACAGUCCAAUGACUGACAGCACAAGGGAACCUCUUUGGUACCAAAGGGAGAUGGGAUUGACAUUGAAGAGAAGGAGGAGUGUAUCCCCAGCAGCUCUGGCCAUCUGAGGGAGCUCUUAAUCACCCCAGACAUCAGCAGUGCCACUGCAGUACUUGAUGGACUCCAGCAAAGAUGAUGGCAUCUGUUUUGUCACCAUACUGGUGAUAAGGUUGCUAUCGGAGAUCAGACCUCAGCCCUAGAUGGACCCUCCCAACAGGCAGCAGAUCUGACAGAAACAUGUCAGCAACUCAUCAGACAAGUCCUGUCUGAGUUCUGUGCUGCAUCCAGAUUCUCCAGGACACAGGCAUAUUCCCAGAACCUGAACAUCCAAAGGGUGUUCAGAGGUUUACAUAAAAACCUCAUGGAGGAGUUUGGCUCUUAUAACACCCUGCAAGCAGCUCUUUCCUCCCAGGACCCUGCAUUUGACAGAGUCCUGGUAAAGUCCUUGACCCAGCAGCUGGUACAGGGAUGCAAGGAGGCGUCAAGACCAGCUUCUGCUGCAACAAACCCAUCAGACCAGGCUGAGACAGAGAGGGGGGCUGAGCAGAAAGCAAGAAGGAGCUUCCUUUGCUUUUCAAUGACCAAACUCAGGAUCAACUUCAAGCGUUACAAGAGAGGAAACAAAAAGGACUGCCAUUCAGUCCAGGAACAGACUGAGAUUCCCUCUACUGAUGGACAUUGCAUAGCUCCUGUUGGAGAGGUUUCUCCCUCCAUAUCUCAGCCUGUCAAAAAACGAUCCUUGAUUGUCAGGGUCUUUUCAGCAAUGAUGAAGCCAUUCAGGCGCUUCACCAAGAAGAACCUGUAACCUCUUACGCUGCAGUUAGAACUACUUUUGUAACAGCAAUACUUUUGACAAGAGGCAUUUCUGCAUGUCUACCCUUUCAAAGUCUAUUUGAUCAAAUAAAUGUUAAUUAUUUUACAAGAAUUUCAAGUGUUUUGGAAGAUUGGUAAAACUGAAGCAGCUUUUCUCAGAGAAAUGCACUAGUUCCCCCUUGGUUACACAUUUAUUGUGCCGUUUUUCAGUUGGCAGGACUUGGGGCAGCAGGUAGCCUUGUGGUUAGAACGUUGGGCCAGUAACUGAAAAGUUGCUAGGUCAGAUCCCUGAGCUAACCAUGUAAAAAAUAUGAUGUUCUGCUCCUGAACAAGGUAGUUAACCCACUCUUCCUAGAGCUGGCCGCCAGGCCAAACUGAGCAAUCGGGGGAGAAGGGCAGUGCAGUGGAGCAGCAGUGCAGUGGAGUAGUUUCAACAGCCAUAGGCCCAGGGAUUUCACAUCACAUUCCAUGAUGCAAUGCAGAAUACGGCUUCACACAGAACAAUCACCAAACCCAUAAGAUAACACUUAGCACAGCACAGCCAAACAUCAUGUAUCACAUGAAGAGGCAUGUGUGUUCACCAGACGUGAUACCUUGUCAUGGACCUACUGUUUCGAUCUUCGCUCUCGCUCUCCCUCUCCCCCUCUCUCUCCCUCUCUCUCUCUCUACCACACCUGUUGUCUCGACCUCUGAAUGUUCGGCUAUGAAAAGCCAACUGACAAUUACUCCGGAGGUGCUGACCUGUUGCACCCUCUAUAACCACAUUAUUUUGUUGACUCUGCUGGUCAUCUAUGAAGAAUGUUUGAACUACAGUACUUGAAGAACGAUCUGGCCAUAUUGGCCAUGUACGCUUAUAAUCUCCACCGGCACAGCCAGAAGAGGACUAGCCACCCCUCAGAGCCUGGUUCCUCUCUAGGUUUCUUCCUAGGUUCCUGUUUUUCUAGAGAGUUUUUCCUAGCCACCGUGCUUCUAAAUCUGCAUUGCAUGCUAUUUGAGGUUUUAAGCUGGGUGUCGGAAUAAGCAUUUUGUGACAUCUGCUAAUGUAAAAAGGGCUUUAUAAAUAAAUUGUACUGAUUGAUUGUGAAAUGGAGUAGCA